rnacentral:rRNA from 1 species
CUAGAUAGAGAUCCCGGGUCUUCGAAAACCGUGUUCAUGGGACAUCGAAGGUGGCUUCACGACGAUGACCCAUGGAGGAAACGCAAGGAUCUGUUCGAUGGUGAAACCGAACCCCGAAAACGCCCGUGUACGAGGAGCGGCGAGGAAAUAGACAAGCUGUUGAAAAAUUGGAAAGACUGCCCACUGCCGGGAAAGAAGCAAAAGGCGCCAGAGCCGGGAAAGAAGCGAAAGGCGCCAGAGCCGCUGCUGAAGGUAUGGAAAACGAGGUCUGUUUUCUGGGACUUGCCGUACUGGAAGAUCCACCGUGUGCCUCACAGCCUUGAUGUCAUGCAUAUCACGAAGAAUGUGUGCGAGAGUCUGCUUGGUACCCUGCUCAACAUGCCAGAGAGGACGAAAGAUGGGCCGAAAGCAAGGGCAGACUUGAAAUCAAUGGGCAUCAGGCAGGAGCUUCACGCUAUAUAUGAUGAUGAUGAUGAUGAUGAUGAUGAUGAUGAUGAUGAGGUGAAGCAGGACACAGAAAGUCGUCGCAAAGGCAGAAAGGCCAAGAAGACCGGAAAUGACUACCCUCCCGCGUGCUUCACUCUAAGUCAGGAGGAGAUCGAGCAGUUUUUCACCUGCCUCCUAGGAGUAAAACUUCCUUACGGUUACGCGGGGAAGAUAAGCAGAUACCUAGACCCAGCGAAGCAGAAGUUCAGCGGGAUGAAGUCUCACGACUGUCACGUGCUGAUGACGCAGAUACUUCCAGUUGCAAUCCGUGGGAUCAUGGACGCGCACGUCCGUGAAACGCUAUUUGGCCUAUGCAACUUCUUUGACGUCAUCUCUCGGAAGUCGAUUGGCGUGAGGCAACUCAGAAGGCUACAGGAAGAGAUCGUGGUGAUACUAUGCGAGCUUGAGAUGUACUUCCCGCCCGCAUUCUUCGACGUUAUGGUGCAUCUGCUGGUCCAUAUAGUGGAGGAUAUCAUCCAACUCGGGCCG